UACAGGGGGUGCAAACGUUGCUCGGAAUUAUUGGGCGUAAAGCGCGCGUAGGCGGCCACUUAAGUCGGAUGUGAAAGCCCUUGGCUCAACUGAGGAAGUGCACCCGAAACUGAAUGGCUUGAGUACUAAAGAGGGUCGCGGAAUUCCCGGUGUAGAGGUGAAAUUCGUAGAUAUCAGGAGGAACACCGGUGGCGAAGGCGGAUCUCUGGGCCUUACCUGACGCUCAGGCGCGGAAGCUAGGGGAGCGAACAGG
rnacentral:rRNA from 1 species